rnacentral:lncRNA from 1 species
UGGGCUUGUGACAUAUCAGAUUUUGAUAUAAAAGUAAAAAAUAAAUAAAAAUAGUGUGAGAUACUAUUUUUAUUAGAUUUAGUGGAGUAAAAUAUAAGUCAGAAAUGACUCGUGCCGAAAUCGGAACGAAAACAGAAGAUUUAGAAUUUUUUAUGAGAGAUGGGACUGAUAUUUUAGCAGAAAAUGCACAGUGUCAGAAAAUUAUGAAAACUGGAGAAUAUGUCAGAAUUAUUUUUAUGAGGCUAGAUUUAAAGUUUCAUGCCAUUCUGACACCCGGAAGGUGGAAAUAAAAUCCGACUGCAUUUUGCUAGAGAUUACAGUUCGGUAGAGCUUUUGGUAACUAAACGUGGUCGAAACUGAAAACUUAAGAUAUAUUCUUUCUUAAUAAGAAAAAUCGAGCCUGACUGUCAAAUUUGAGCGCAAACGGACGUUCAGAAGGUCUCCAAUGUGUACGAACUGCUAAACUGAGCAGCUAAACUGAAAAUAAG